rnacentral:rRNA from 1 species
UACAGAGGGUGCGAGCGUUGUCCGGCAUCACUGGGCGUAAAGGGCGCGUAGGCGGCUUGAUAAGCGUGCGGUGAAAGCCCGGGGCUCAACCCCGGGUCGGCCGUGCGAACUGUCGAGCUGGAGCACUGUAGAGGCAGGUGGAAUUCCGGGUGUAGCGGUGAAAUGCGUAGAGAUCCGGAAGAACACCAAAGGCGAAGGCACCAUCCUGGGGAGUCACUGACGCUCGGGUGCGAAAGCUAGGGGAGCGAACGGG